GUCCCUCGCUCCCUCCUUCCCUCCUUCCCUCUCCCUCUCCCUCUCCCUCUCCUUCUCCUCCUCCCGCUCCUGCCGGCCGCUGCCCGGUGGCAGGGCAGGGCGGAGGGCGGGGCGGCGGGAGCCGGGCCGCUGCCGGAGCGCUGCCUGCACCGGCGGGGAGUGGCGGGGGGCGGCAGCCGAGAGGCGGCACCUGGGUCCUCCCCCGUCUCCAUCACCCUGGCUGCCGUGGAGCGGCCGCGGCCGAGCGGAGCGCGGGGGUGAGGUCUUUACUAAUGUGCUGACUCACCCAAAAUGUCCAUAAGAGAAUAAUGGAAGCUCCUGAAUAUCUUGAUUUGGAUGAAAUAGAUUUCAGUGAUGAUAUAUCGUAUUCUGUAACUUCUCUCAAGACCAUCCCAGAAUUAUGUAGAAGAUGUGAUUCACAAAAUGAAGACAGAUCAGUUUCCAGCAGCAGCUGGAACUGUGGGGUCUCAACUCUCCUUGGAAAUGCACAGAAACCAACAGGAAUUGCAGAUGCGUGCAAUAAAUUCAGACCUGUGAAGAGGGUUUCUCCAUUAAAGCACCAGCCAGAAAGCUCUGAGAACAAUGAAAGUGAUGACCAGAAGAACCAGAAGGGAGAAUAUCAGAAAGGCAGUGAUUCUCAGUCUGCACCUCCAAAUGAUGACCAGAGUCCAGGAGAAGGAGAAAGCCUUAAAAGCAAAAGCAGCGAGCCUGCUGUUCUGCUUGGGGAGCUGGAGCACUAUGACCUGGAUAUGGAUGAAAUUUUGGAUGUGCCUUAUAUUAAAUCAAGUCAGCAACCCGUUCCUUUCACAAAGGUAGCUCCUGAGAAAAAACUUCUAAGUGUGUGUUCAACCGUGAAUGGUCUAAGUGUCAAGACCUGUCCUGCAGGGAGCACAGAAAGCUCGCCUGCUGGCGGGACGCAGUUCUGUGUGCUGUCUCCUGUGAAAGGCGCUCAGCUGAGAAAAACGCAGCCCAUUGUCCUUGAUCAGCACAAGCAUUCAGCAGAAGAAUUAGAGCUUUCCCAGCCUUUAGUUAAGUGUAGCUCAGCCCAUGAAUCUGAAGCCCAAGGCAAGGGCUUCUUCAGCAGGACACCUCCUGAUCCUCUUGCUCACAAAGCUGAGAAGAAUAUGCCAAACUGCCACCGGAGGACUUUCCACCUGCAGACGGCAGUGGCAGAAAGCAAGCAGCUAGAGGAGCUGACUAUGACCUGGAGCAGUGCAGGGGGGCAAGAAGAGAAGAGCGAAGAAGUGAAAAAAAUUAAGAGCAUCUUAAACAUCGUAAAGGAAGGCCAAAUAUCUUUACUGCCACAUUUAGCAGCAGAUAAUCUGGAUAAGAUCCAUGAUGAAUGUGACAACAAUCUGUUGCAUGUAGCAGCAUCAAAGGGACAUGCAGAAUGCCUGCAGCAUCUCACUUCUUUGAUGGGUGAAGACUGUUUGAAUGAACGAAACAUUGAGCAGCUAACUCCAGCUGGGUUAGCAAUAAAGAAUGGUCAGCUGGAGUGCGUUCGGUGGAUGGUGAGUGAAACAGAAGCUAUUGCAGAACUCAGUUGCUCAAAAGACCACCCAAGCCUUAUUCAUUAUGCAGGUUGCUAUGGCCAGGAGAAAAUCCUUCUGUGGCUUCUUCAGUUUAUGCAAGAACAAGGGAUUUCGCUGGAUGAAGUUGACCAGGACGGAAAUACUGCUGUUCACAUAGCUGCUCAGCAUGGCUAUCUAGGAUGCAUACAGACAUUGGUUGAAUAUGGAGCAAAUGUCACCAUGCAAAACCAUGUGGGAGAGAAACCCUCUCAAAGUGCUGAGCGACAUGGGCACACCAUGUGUUCCCGCUACUUAGUAGUUGUGGAGACAUGCAUGUCACUGGCCUCUCAGGUUGUCAAGCUGACUAAGCAGCUGAAGGAGCAGACUGUGGAACGUGUGACAUUACAGAACCAGCUCCAGCAGCUUUUAGAAGCCCAGCGGUCAGAGGGCAAGUCACUGCCCACAUCCCCAAGCUUGCCAUCAUCUCCUGCUUCUGGCAAACCCCAGUGGAAACCAUCUGAAGCAGAUGAAUUGUCUCCACCAAAAAGUAAAUUGAACACCCAAGAUGGGAUUCAGAUUCUUGGCAGCUUGGGAACGAGCACAUCUACUCGUGCUCGAGCUAAGAUAAAAGAUGAGGACUCCGAUAAAAUCUUGCGCCAGUUGUUGGGGAAGGAAAUCUCUGAAAAUGUCUGUAUGCAGGAAAAGCUGACUUUGGAAUUUCAGGAUGCUCAUGCAUCCUCCAAGAACGUGAAGAAGAUUUUGCCAGAGAAAAGGGAGCUGAAAUUAGCCCGACUAAGGCAGCUGAUGCAGCGGUCUCUCAGCGAGUCUGAUACAGAUUCAGCUAAUUCUGAGGACCACAAGACCACCCCUUUGAAAAGAACUGACAAACCAAGACCUCAGCCUAUAGUGGAGAGUGUUGAGAGCACAGAGAGCUUGAACAUGAUGCUUAAGAAGCACACUUCCACGGCAGGACGGCGCUUCCCCUUUGGUAUCAGGGUUUCUAAGUCUGUGGACGGCCACAGUCCUUCCCCUACUUCAGAGAGCAGCGAUGCAGAUAAUGAAGGCCCAUAUCAGUGUGGGACAGUACCUCCGAACCAGUUCUGUGGAGACAGCUCUCCAUCCAGCACAGACAGUGCUACUGCCCAGAAGGUUGCCACCAGCCCAAAGAGUGCUCUCAAGUCUCCAUCCUCAAAGCGCAGAACCUCUCAAAAUUUGAAACUUCGAGUAACUUUCGAGGAGCCUGUGGUGCAGGUGGAACUAGCAGAAUCAGAACUAAAUGAGGAAAAGGAUAAAGAGCGGAGCAAAGGACUCAUGCGGGCUCCAGCCAGCUCUGGGGAGCAUGCAGGGGACCAGCUGAAAAGGCCUUUUGGAGCCUUUCGGUCCAUAAUGGAGACACUGAGUGGCAACCAAAAUAACAACAACAACUGUCAAACAGCAAACCUCAUCAAAACCUCCUCAACGCUGCCUUUUACCUCACUAGGAAGGAAGACAGCAGAAAGCAAGGGAAAUCCAGCAGUUGUCUCAAAAGGAAGAAACAAGCCAGAUCCUUACUUCAGCUACACCAGUCUUUCUGCUAGCACGUUGAAUGAAGAGCUGUGUAACUAUGCUUGAUCAGGAGCCACAGUUGUAAAAAGCAUAUCUCUUCAGUAUUGUCACCUAGAGACAUCUGCAUUGGUCAAAAACUUUCUUCUUUGAGGUCACACUGCAACUGUAGAGCUGCCAAAGGGGCUUUUGGUUUGCCUAGUGAGCCUCUACAUGGGGAAAUCACCCACAGGCUCUUUCAACACUGCAAGCCUAGGCCAAUGCAGCAGGCAUGAUGACAUCAACUGGAAAAUCCAGAAAUCUGACAGUCAAAUGAGUAUUGAAGAGCCAGAGCUGCAGGAAUUCUUCCUCUAAAACAUGUCAUGAUGUCUCACUUUGUUUGAGAUACCUGAAAUAUAGCCUUUUGAAACACUAAUAUGAGACAUACCCCUCACCAGCAAAACAGCAGCUGUUAGGAUGCCUUAAUUUGUAUCAGUUAGACCAUAUACAAAUCUUUUUUAUGAUAUAUGUGUAUAUGUAACUUGUUUGUAAGCUGUGCUGUGUAAAGGCAUGGGUGAGCAGAAGUAACAAUUUGAAAAUUGUUAUGACACUUGCAACCUCCAAAAUGUUUGUUUGGCCACAGAACACGUUUUCUACUUUGUGUCUUGCAUGGAUAUAUUGUCAUAUAUCUUUAUUUCCCUUUGUCAACAGCAUAUACUGUCAAAGUUUCAUCCAGGACUCUGCCUGUGCAGCUCCUCAGUGAGAUGAAGGCAAAAGCAUUGAUUUUUUUUUUAGUAUGUUUUGUCUGUUGUUAUUUCUAUUUUUUGUAAAAAGGAAAUAAAGACAGUGUUAAUAGGAUACACUGUGCAGAUAACUUGCUGUAAUUAAUUUCCUGUUUGAGGUAUAAGGUUUUUUUGUUCUUUUUGAUGUUCAUUUGAUAAUUAGACAACAUUUGAUAAUUAGACAACAUCUGGAUUUCAGUCAAUUAGUUGUGUCAAGAGUUGCUUUAAUGUUUAGUAGUCCUUUAUCAGCUUUAAAACAUGUAGAAAUAAAAAGUGUAAAUGCAGUUUUAAGUUACCAAUUACUGCUGCUUUCCAAGCGCUGGAAGUGUGCUCAGCUUUGUUGAAGUUACUGCAUAAUCUGCUGAAACUCUAAUCCAUAUUCUCUCAAAGCUGUCAUGAUUCCUUUAUUGAAUGUUCUUUUAACUUUUCAGAGAAAAUUAAUUAAUUCACUUU